GCUAAUUUCGUGCCGGCGGCGGCGGGAAGACGGAAGGGCCGGUGGUUAUCCGGGGUUAUUGGGUUUAAAGGGGGCGUAGGCCGGGGAUUAAGCGUGUUGUGAAAUGUAGAUGCUCAACAUCUGAACUGCAGCGCGAACUGGUUUCCGUGAGUACGCACAAAGUGGGCGGAAUUCGUGGUGUAGCGGUGAAAUGCUUAGAUAUCACGAAGAACUCCGAUUGCGAAGGCAGCUCACUGGAGCGCAACUGACGCUGAAGCUCGAAAGUGCGGGUAUCGAACAGGAUUAGAUCCCCUAGUAGUC
rnacentral:rRNA from 1 species